CACGUAGGGACCAAGCGUUGUCCGGAUUCAUUGGGCGUAAAGAGCUCGUAGGCGGCUCAGUAAGUCGGGUGUGAAACCUCCAGGCUCAACCUGGAGACGCCACCCGAUACUGCUGUGGCUAGAGUCCAGUAGGGGAGCGUGGAAUUCCUGGUGUAGCGGUGAAAUGCGCAGAUAUCAGGAAGAACACCCGUGGCGAAGGCGGCUCUCUGGAACGCAACUGACGCUGAGACGCGAAAGCGUGGGUAGCAAACAGG
rnacentral:rRNA from 1 species